rnacentral:rRNA from 1 species
GACGAACGCUGGCGGCGUGCCUAACACAUGCAAGUCAACUUGACUGAAGGAGCAAUCUGACGGUAGAGUGGCGCAAGGGUGCGUAACGCGUAAGUAACUUGCCCAAGGUAAGGAAUAACGUCGAGAAAUCGGCGCUAAUACCUCAUAAUGCAGCGGAUCCGCAUGGAUAUGUUGUUAAAGGUUUACCGCCUUGGGAUAGGCUUGCGUCUGAUUAGCUAGUUGGUGUGGUAACGGCACACCAAGGCUACGAUCAGUAACUGGUCUGAGAGGAUGAUCAGUCACACUGGAACUGAGACACGGUCCAGACUCCUACGGGAGGCAGCAGUGAGGAAUAUUGGGCAAUGCUCGAAAGAGUGACCCAGCAACGCCGCGUGGAGGAUGAAGGUAUUCUAUAUCGUAAACUCCUGUGAGAGCAGACGAAAGACAGAAUUAUUAAUCUGGAUGACUGUAUGCUCAGAGGAAGCCCCGGCUAACUACGUCG